CGUCCCUAUCGUCUAGAGGCCUAGGACAUCGCCCUUUCACGGCGGUAACCGGGGUUCGAAUCCCCGUAGGGACGCCAU
rnacentral:tRNA from 1 species